GACGAACGCUGGCGGCGUGCUUAACACAUGCAAGUCGAACGGAAAGGCCCUGCUUUUGUGGGGUGCUCGAGUGGCGAACGGGUGAGUAACACGUGAGUAACCUGCCCUUGACUUUGGGAUAACUUCAGGAAACUGGGGCUAAUACCGGAUAGGAGCUCCUGCUGCAUGGUGGGGGUUGGAAAGUUUCGGCGGUUGGGGAUGGACUCGCGGCUUAUCAGCUUGUUGGUGGGGUAGUGGCUUACCAAGGCUUUGACGGGUAGCCGGCCUGAGAGGGUGACCGGCAACAUUGGGACUGAGAUACGGCCCAGACUCCUACGGGAGGCAGCAGUGGGGAAUAUUGCACAAUGGGCGGAAGCCUGAUGCAGCAACGCCGCGUGCGGGAUGACGGCCUUCGGGUUGUAAAACGCUUUCGCCUGUGACGAAGCGUGAGUGACGGUAAUGGGUAAAGAAGCACCGGCUAACUACGUG
rnacentral:rRNA from 1 species